GUGCCAGCAGCCGCGGUAAGACGAACCGAGCGAACGUUGUUCGGAAUCACUGGGCUUAAAGGGCGCGUAGGCGGGCUGUCAAGUUUGGGGUGAAAUCCCGCGGCUCAACCGUGGAACUGCCUUAAAUACUGACGGUCUCGAGGGGGAUAGGGGCGAGCGGAACUGAUGGUGGAGCGGUGAAAUGCGUUGAUAUCAUCAGGAACUCCGGUGGCGAAGGCGGCUCGCUGGAUCCCUUCUGACGCUGAGGCGCGAAAGCCAGGGGAGCAAACGGGAUUAGAUACCCCUGUAGUCC
rnacentral:rRNA from 1 species